rnacentral:rRNA from 1 species
UACGAAGGGGGCUAGCGUUGCUCGGAAUGACUGGGCGUAAAGGGCGCGUAGGCGGAUGGCACAGUCAGAUGUGAAAUUCCCGGGCUUAACCUGGGGGCUGCAUUUGAUACGUGUUGUCUUGAGUUCGGAAGAGGGUCGUGGAAUUCCCAGUGUAGAGGUGAAAUUCGUAGAUAUUGGGAAGAACACCGGUGGCGAAGGCGGCGACCUGGUCCGACACUGACGCUGAGGCGCGAAAGCGUGGGGGAGCAAACAGG